rnacentral:rRNA from 1 species
AUGCUUUCCUUCGUCACCAGCUCCUCUGAAAUAGGUUUUCUUCUCCAUAUUUCGAGCUCUUUUUUUGUUCGCGCAAUGCGCUUCUCCAGAUCGCCAAGAAUGUUUUUACUCCAGUCUGCCAACUCGUUUGCCACUUCUUUUAUAUUGUCAGUCACCCCUCCUCCAUGCACCUCGCUGCUUUUCUUCCAAGCAUUUCCCACUAUACCCCCACACGCCUCUUAUUCCAGCCAUUUAGCUUCAAACCUAAAACCUCUCUUUCCACUAUGGCCACCACCACUACUACCUCCUGCUUCUAGCUCAAUGAUUAAGGGUCAGUGA